rnacentral:rRNA from 1 species
AAAAGACUUAGUCCUAACCUUACUAUUACUAUUGAUUUUGCUAGACAUAUACAUGCAAGUA